CUUAUAGAUGGAUCCGCGCUGCAUUAGCUAGUUGGUAAGGUAACGGCUUACCAAGGCAACGAUGCAUAGCCGACCUGAGAGGGUGAUCGGCCACACUGGAACUGAGACACGGUCCAGACUCCUACGGGAGGCAGCAGUAGGGAAUCUUCCGCAAUGGGCGAAAGCCUGACGGAGCAACGCCGCGUGAGUGAUGAAGGUCUUCGGAUCGUAAAACUCUGUUAUUAGGGAAGAACAUAUGUGUAAGUAAUUGUGCACAUCUUGACGGUACCUAAUCAGAAAGCCACGGCUAACUACGUGCCAGCAGCCGCGGUAAUACGUAGGUGGCAAGCGUUAUCCGGAAUUAUUGGGCGUAAAGCGCGCGUAGGCGGUUUUUUAAGUCUGAUGUGAAAGCCCACGGCUCAACCGUGGAGGGUCAUUGGAAACUGGAAAACUUGAGUGCAGAAGAGGAAAGUGGAAUUCCAUGUGUAGCGGUGAAAUGCGCAGAGAUAUGGAGGAACACCAGUGGCGAAGGCGACUUUCUGGUCUGUAACUGACGCUGAUGUGCGAAAGCGUGGGGAUCAAACAGGAUUAGAUACCCUGGUAGUCCACGCCGUAAACGAUGAGUGCUAAGUGUUAGGG
rnacentral:rRNA from 1 species